rnacentral:lncRNA from 1 species
UUAACUAUCCCUUAAUCUUUGACAUUUAUUCUCUACAGAACAAUCAGACCCUUCUGGAAACCCUCUUUUCUUCUCAACCUUCCACAACAACCGGUUAACCGCCGGCACCACCACCGGCGGCGUCGGAAUCUGGUACGUCUCCAGCGCCGGCGGCGGGUGGCGCCAGUGCGGUAGCGGCCCAGCCAAAAGCAAAUUCUGCAACAACGGCCCAGCUUUCACCACCGCUUCCAAAAACUUCCCGUUUUCCGGCAGUUUCUUCGCCGGAACCCUAAGUUCAUGAUUUUCCGGCGAGAUCUCCGGCGGCGUGAAAUGAACCGGCGGUUCGGUGAUUGAGGAUGAGACGAUGCUUUCGUCGCAAUCGGAGACGUGGUCGUCGGUUGAGGCGGAGUGGACUGAGUGCGGCGGCGGUGGUGCGGUGGUUUGACGGUGGUGGAGGAGUGUUUGGUAGCGGUUUUGAGCUUCGAGUUUUUCGUUAAUGGCGCUUGAGUUCUUCUAGGGCUUUGAAUCUUGCUGCUUCAAGCUCCAUUGUUGUGAUUAGUAGUGACUGUGUUAAUUCUUCUACACUCUGUUGGAAUAAGUUACAGCGAUUAAUUGGAUUGAAAUUUGUAUAAUGUAAUUCUCAGUUUUAUGUAUAUAUUUACACAUUUUUUUAGGUGAAUAUUUUAAGUAGAUAUGUUUUUACU